AUGGUCGGCCAGUUUCCCUGUCUUUGUGAAGUGGCUCUUUUUAAAGCUCCUUCAGGUAAAAUGUGUGUAUUCCUAGUGAGCUUUGGACUCUUGAUUAGGGGGUAUCAUUCCCUUUUUUGUAACAUUUCAGAACAGCCUCUUGUCCUGAUGCCUGGGUGUGGUCCUGUGUUCCUUUUUUGGGUGGGAGCUCGAAAAGAUUUCAGGCAGCUUUACUCGCUAAGCCUUGUUGUCAUAUGGUCUUGCAUCAGAUUUUUGUUUUCUUUUCAGAGCGUGCAUGCACAUUUAUUUCUAGGAUCCCUCUCCUUCACCUUUUACUUCCAGCCUGCCGGUCGAGUCUCCCUGGCUGACUUGAAUGGAGGAAAUGCUGUGACCAUUUAAAUGGUUUCCUGCUUUUGGCAUCACCUGGGGACCGACUGAGCACAUGGUGACACAGCUAUCCAUGGAAUACGAAGAAAUCAGAAAAGAGGAUGAAGUCGAUGAAUUUGCGCUGCUGUGAAAGGAUUUUAAGGAGUAUCAGAUACUUUUUUUUUUUUGACUGCGUUGGGUCUUCGUUGUGGCACCGUGGCCUUUUUCCUGUUGCUCAGCACAGGCUCCAGAGCACUUGGGCUCAGUAGCUGUGGUGCAUGGGCUUUGUUGAUCCUGUAGCACGUGGGAUCUCAGUUCCCCAACCAGAGAUUGAACCUGCAUCCCCUGCAUUGGAAGGCAGAUUCUUAACCACUGGACCACCAGGGUAGCCCCUUAAAUACAUGAUUGAAAAGCAGCCUACAGGACAGUUUAUGCUGAUAUGUGUUUAUAGUUUUCUCUGAAAGAACACCCACAAAUGCUUCCCAGUGGUUAUCUUUGGAAGAAGAGACCGGAGGAGAAUGAAGAUGCCCACUUUAUAUUUUUCUGUACUAUAGUUUGAAGUUUGACCAUAUGCAUAUAUGUUACUUUAAAGAUAAAAUUAAACGUUGAUCUAACUUAGGUGUGGGCCCGCUGUCAUCCCAUUCACAGGAGAGGUCAAGACCCUCGAGGAACCAGUGAUUAGCCCAUGCUGGGAAUGGCUAAUACAGAGGAUACAGAGGAGUAUGGAGGGUUCUGCUUGAAUUUGAUGUCUCUCUAAGAAGUUCUGACUUCCGUUGCUUCCGGACCGCUGGACCUGAUAAGUCAGGCCUGGGUGUAGACUUGUGAUUAGUUAUGCCUUUACUCCCUUUAACCUGGUAAUGUGACUAGGACUUAAAUUCCCUGUAAUUUCCUUGUGUGUCAGUCUCUGAGAAUCUUCCUCCUUGAGUGUUGGCUUGUUAGCAGCUUGAGGCUGAACUCUGAAUGUCACUGUCACAGCCGAAAGGAGGUGUCAGUGUCAAGGAGAGAGUGGAGCACUUCCUUUCUCAUUUUGCAG
rnacentral:lncRNA from 1 species